GGACCCAUGGCGCAACGGUAGCGCGUCAGAUUCCAGUCCUGAAGGUUAGGCGUUCGAAUCGCCUUGGGUUCA
rnacentral:tRNA from 3 species